AGAGUUUGAUCCUGGCUCAGAUUGAACGCUGGCGGCAUGCCUUACACAUGCAAGUCGAACGGCAGCAUGAUCUAGCUUGCUAGAUUGAUGGCGAGUGGCGAACGGGUGAGUAAUACAUCGGAACGUGCCCUGUAGUGGGGGAUAACUAGUCGAAAGAUUAGCUAAUACCGCAUACGACCUGAGGGUGAAAGUGGGGGACCGCAAGGCCUCAUGCUAUAGGAGCGGCCGAUGUCUGAUUAGCUAGUUGGUGAGGUAAAGGCUCACCAAGGCGACGAUCAGUAGCUGGUCUGAGAGGACGAUCAGCCACACUGGGACUGAGACACGGCCCAGACUCCUACGGGAGGCAGCAGUGGGGAAUUUUGGACAAUGGGCGAAAGCCUGAUCCAGCAAUGCCGCGUGUGUGAAGAAGGCCUUCGGGUUGUAAAGCACUUUUGUCCGGAAAGAAAUGGCUCUGGUUAAUACCUGGGGUCGAUGACGGUACCGGAAGAAUAAGGACCGGCUAACUACGUGCCAGCAGCCGCGGUAAUACGUAGGGUCCAAGCGUUAAUCGGAAUUACUGGGCGUAAAGCGUGCGCAGGCGGUUGUGCAAGACCGAUGUGAAAUCCCCGAGCUUAACUUGGGAAUUGCAUUGGUGACUGCACGGCUAGAGUGUGUCAGAGGGGGGUAGAAUUCCACGUGUAGCAGUGAAAUGCGUAGAGAUGUGGAGGAAUACCGAUGGCGAAGGCAGCCCCCUGGGAUAACACUGACGCUCAUGCACGAAAGCGUGGGGAGCAAACAGGAUUAGAUACCCUGGUAGUCCACGCCCUAAACGAUGUCAACUAGUUGUUG
rnacentral:rRNA from 1 species